AUUGAACGCUGGCGGCAGGCUUAACACAUGCAAGUCGAGCGGAGAGAGGUAGCUUGCUACUGAUCUUAGCGGCGGAUGGGUGAGUAAUGCUUAGGAAUCUGCCUAUUAGUGGGGGACAACAUCUCGAAAGGAAUGCUAAUACCGCAUACGUCCUACGGGAGAAAGCAGGGGAUCUUCGGACCUUGCGCUAAUAGAUGAGCCUAAGUCGGAUUAGCUAGUUGGUGGGGUAAAGGCCUACCAAGGCGACGAUCUGUAGCGGGUCUGAGAGGAUGAUCGGCCACACUGGGACUGAGACACGGCCCAGACUCCUACGGGAGGCAGCAGUGGGGAAUAUUGGACAAGGGGCGGGAGCCUGAUCCAGCCAUGCCGCGUGUGUGAAGAAGGCCUUAUGGUUGUAAAGCACUUUAAGCGAGGAGGAGGCUACUUUAGUUAAUACCUAGAGAUAGUGGACGUUACUCGCAGAAUAAGCACCGGCUAACUCUGUGCCAGCCGCCGCGGUAA
rnacentral:rRNA from 1 species